rnacentral:lncRNA from 1 species
CUCUGCCUGCGUAGACCCAGACUGUCUGUGUUAGUGAUUAUUACAUGUUCUAACACCUAUUUCAUGUCAUAAAAAGGACACAAAAAGGGCAAUGAAACUGGGGUUCUUGGCUGAGCCAGGUAGUCAGUGCUUUGAAGCUCAGUUAGGGCUUGUCUACAAGACAAAUGUCUGCCAAGAAGAUACUUCACUUGGUGGACUGAGGAGUCUCCUAGUUAAAAACAGGGGGGUGGGGUUGAGGGGUCAGGUUCAUAAGCUGUUUCAAUAACCCUGCCUCUGUGCCAAACUUCGAAUGCAGCUUGGUAUCUUUUGCUCACAUUGCACUCCAGCCCAGCUCUCAGGUGCAAAUCCUGGGAAAGUGAAGGCUCAAGAAAAACUGUUUUACUGAAAAUUCAGGAAGAUGUUGAAAGCAUAAAACGCUCCUGAAACUUGAGGAAUUGUAUAAUCACCGCUUUAAGAUCAUAUUUUUAUAAUCAAAGCUCAAUGGAGAAGGAAACUGAGUCACAUGACCACUUGCCGGAGUCACAUCAGAAGUCAAAGAUGGUUCCAAGGACUAAAGCUGCCUCUGCUAUUGCCUCCACCCUACCUGCACUGCUGAGCAUGCAACCUUCCUCAGACACCACCUGGCAAAGAUGGAAAUACCUUCAGUCCUGCCAGAUCUUCAGUCUUGUCACUACAGCUUGAAGACCCUGCCUCACUGGGGAGGAAGCUGCCCUGAGCUCCUCCUGCCCCCAAGCGGCCUGUGGAGAGCUGCUGCUUCCCUCUGAAGACCGUGAAUUGUAAGCCUGACUCAGUGAACUGCCUCAGGUUUCCUUUUUCUCCUCUUCCUCAGCUUUUUCCUACCCCAAAGGCCCUCUUCAAGGGCUCACAACAGGAUUCAGGAGUCUUCUUACUGGGCCACCCAGACCCAACUGGAAGGCCUCACUAAGAUGACCAAGACCCAGCCUCCACUCCAAACUUGCUUCUGUAGCUCCACCUGAGAGAAAGAAGGCCUUUCAUUUUGCAGGUUUUCUGGCAUGAAUUAAGACACAAACCUGUGUACAUAUGAGUGUAGAGUUUGUUCUUGCCUUGCGUCACCAUAGCAAUCGGCCCUGGCCACUAAUGGUUCGUCACUCCUGGUGCCUCUCUUCAUGCCUCUCCCCGGUACCCAUCCUGCCUCAGGAAGGACCAAGCCCUGCAGCCUGCUUUACCCUGGGGGCCAGCACUCCCCACUGUCACACACACUUCCGGGCUGAACAG